rnacentral:rRNA from 1 species
UACGUAGGGUGCGAGCGUUGUCCGGAAUUAUUGGGCGUAAAGGGCGCGUAGGCGGGCUGUCAAGUCGGUGGUGAAAUCGUUCCGCUCAACGGGACAAUGGCCUUCGAUACUGGCGGUCUGGAGGGAGGUAGGGGCAUGCGGAACUUCCGGUGGAGCGGUGAAAUGCGUAGAUAUCGGAAGGAACACCGAUGGCGAAAGCAGCGUGCUGGACCUUUUCUGACGCUGAGGCGCGAAAGCCAGGGGAGCAAAGCGGG